GAGAGGUGGCUGAGCGGUUGAAAGCGGAGGAUUGCUAAUCCUUUGUAGGGUAAUUUCGCCCUACCGCGGGUUCGAAUCCCGCCCUCUCC
rnacentral:tRNA from 1 species